rnacentral:rRNA from 1 species
UACGAAGGGGGCUAGCGUUGUUCGGAUUUACUGGGCGUAAAGCGCACGUAGGCGGAUCGUUAAGUCGGGGGGUGAAAUCCUGGAGCUCAACUCCAGAACUGCCUUCGAUACUGGCGAUCUUGAGUCCGGAAGAGGUGAGUGGAACUCCUAGUGUAGAGGUGGAAUUCGUAGAUAUUAGGAAGAACACCAGUGGCGAAAGGCGGCUCACUGGUCCGGUACUGACGCUGAGGUGCGAAAGCGUGGGGAGCAAACAGG